UACGUAGGGGGCAAGCGUUGUUCGGAUUUACUGGGCGUAAAGCGCACGUAGGCGGAUCGUUAAGUCGGGGGUGAAAUCCUGGAGCUCAACUCCAGAACUGCCCUCCAAACUGUUUGGCUUGAGACCGGGAGAGGUGAGUGGAAUUCCCAGUGUAGCGGUGAAAUGCGUAGAUAUUGGGAGGAACACCAGUGGCGAAGGCGGCUCACUGGACCGGUACUGACGCUGAGGCGCGAAAGCGUGGGGAGCAAACGGG
rnacentral:rRNA from 1 species